GGCACGCCUAACACAUGCAAGUCGAACGCAGUAGCAAUACUGAGUGGCAAACGGGUGAGUAUAAUGUGGGAAUCUGCCUUUUGGUUUGGAAUAACACGGGGAAACUUGUGCUAAUACCGAAUAAGCCUUUACAGGGAAAGUUUUAAUGCCGAAAGAUGAGCCCGCACUUGAUUAGCUAGUUGGUAAGGUAAAAGCUUACCAAGGCAACGAUCAAUAGCUGUUCUUAGAGGAAGACCAGCCACAUUGGGACUGAGACACGGCCCAGACUCCUACGGGAGGCAGCAGUGGGGAAUCUUGCACAAUGGGGGAAACCCUGAUGCAGCGAUGCCGCGUGAGUGAAGAAGGCCCUUGGGUUGUAAAACUCUUUCGUCGGGGAAGAAAAUGACUGUACCCGAAUAAGAAGGUCCGGCUAACUUCGUGCCAGCAGCCGCGGUAAUACGAAGGGACCUAGCGUAGUUCGGAAUUACUGGGCUUAAAGAGCUCGUAGGUGGUUAAAAAAGUUGAUGGUGAAAUCCCAAGGCUUAACCUUGGAACUGCCAUCAAAACUUUUUAGCUAGAGUGUGAUAGAGGUAAGUGGAAUUUCUAGUGUAGAGGUGAAAUUCGUAGAUAUUAGAAAGAACACCAAAUGCGAAGGCAACUUACUGGGUCACUACUGACACUGAGGAGCGAAAGCAUGGGUAGCGAAGAGGAUUAGAUACCCUCGUAGUCCAUGCCGUAAACGAUGUGUGCUAGACGUUGGAAAUAUAUUUUUCAGUGUCGCAGCGAAAGCAUUAAGCACACCGCCUGGGGAGUACG
rnacentral:rRNA from 1 species